rnacentral:rRNA from 1 species
AACGCGAAGAACCUUACCAGCCCUUGACAUGUCUAGGACCGGUCGCAGAGACGCGACCUUCUCUUCGGAGCCUAGAGCACAGGUGCUGCAUGGCUGUCGUCAGCUCGUGUCGUGAGAUGUUGGGUUAAGUCCCGAAACGAGCGCAACCCCCGUCCUUAGUUGCUACCAUUUAGUUGAGCACUCUAGGGAGACUGCCGGUGAUAAGCCGCGAGGAAGGUGGGGAUGACGUCAAGUCCUCAUGGCCCUUACGGGCUGGGCUACACACGUGCUACAAUGGCGGUGACAAUGGGAUGCUAAGGGGCGACCCCUCGCAAAUCUCAAAAAGCCGUCUCAGUUCGGAUUGGGCUCUGCAACUCGAGCCCAUGAAGUUGGAAUCGCUAGUAAUCGUGGAUCAGCAUGCCACGGUGAAUACGUUCCCGGGCCUUGUACACACCGUAGUAC